rnacentral:lncRNA from 1 species
ACAUGGGCCCACCUGCUCCGAGCUGGCUUCGAGGAGAAAUGGGAGUAGCCGACCACCGCCCAUGCUGGAGGCUAGAGUCUGUCUUAUGGGCUCUGCUCGCCUCGCUGUUGCAGUUGUUGGCACUGACGGAGACUACAGGGCAGCUAGAAAGCUUCUUAAACAUGCUAAGUUCACUCCUAUUGACAACUGAAUGCAACGUCGGAUCCUGGAUUAGAUCUUAGCCCAGAAUAGGUCUUCAGUGGAAGAACUGGCAAAAUUUGAAUAAGCUGGGAAAAUGGCAAUGAAUUAAUAUGACGGUGAAGUGAUGACUAAAAUUCUACAUUGCUCCGAAAGCAAGUAAGAAAAUCAGUGGUCAUAGAGAAGUUCUUUCA